UCGACAUUACCUACACUCCACACCACAUGGGCUAAACCGGGCUUAACCACACACUGGAUGUUCGAGAAACACGUGACAGGAGUGAUUCUCGAUUCGGGAGCAUUGCUACCAUGUUGAUCCACGUGUGAGCAGGAAGGUGUUCACCAGCCAGAGAAACUGCAGGAAGCCAACAGCGAACAGACUGCGAGCAGAAUCUGAGAUGAAUAACAGUGAGGUCGGAUCUUAGCGGGACGCUGCGGAGAGGAAGAACAGCAUGAGGAACACCGUCUGUUUCAGAGGGUUCGUCUGAAAUGUAUUAUUUUAUAAUUGUACUUAUGAGAGACUAAAG